rnacentral:rRNA from 1 species
GAUGAACGCUGGCGGCGUGCCUAAUACAUGCAAGUCGAGCGAACAGACGAGGGGCUUGCUCCUCUGACGUUAGCGGCGGACGGGUGAGUAACACGUGGAUAACCUACCUAUAAGACUGGGAUAACUUCGGGAAACCGGAGCUAAUACCGGAUAAUAUAUUAAACCGCAUGGUUCAAUAGUGAAAGACGGUUUUGCUGUCACUUAUAGAUGGAUCCGCGCCGCAUUAGCUAGUUGGUAAGGUAACGGCUUACCAAGGCGACGAUGCGUAGCCGACCUGAGAGGGUGAUCGGCCACACUGGAACUGAGACACGGUCCAGACUCCUACGGGAGGCAGCAGUAGGGAAUCUUCCGCAAUGGGCGAAAGCCUGACGGAGCAACGCCGCGUGAGUGAUGAAGGUCUUCGGAUCGUAAAACUCUGUUAUUAGGGAAGAACAAAUGUGUAAGUAACUAUGCACGUCUUGACGGUACCUAAUCAGAAAGCCACGGCUAACUACGUG